rnacentral:lncRNA from 1 species
UCCAGCUGUGACCUCCAACAGCAAAAUGAAAUUUCUGUGUCUGCACUUGGUCCAGGGGAUAUUACUUCUCGUGUAUCUAUAUACACCGUUUAUCCCAGUGGGUUCCAAGAGCUAUACCGCCAUUUUCUCCGACUCCCUAAUGGCGCCAUUGUUGAGGUGUUUGGUGAUGUCCGUGGCCUAAGGUUUAUCCCCACUGAAGUAGUCACAGCGAUUCAGGAGCAUAUCAGUGAACUGGACGAUACACCAGAAGACUUCUUUGAUAUUAAAUCAAGAGAAAUGAAAAGAAUCCACUAAAAUAAAAAGGUAGUCUUUUUUACUGAUUAAAUAUUUA